GACGAACGCUGGCGGCGUGCUUAACACAUGCAAGUCGAACGAUGAAGCCCAGCUUGCUGGGUGGAUUAGUGGCGAACGGGUGAGUAACACGUGGGCAACCUGCCCCAAACUCUGGGAUAACUCCUCGAAAGAGGUGCUAAUACCGGAUACGAACUAGACAGACAUCUGUACUAGUUGGAAAGUUUUUCGGUUUGGGAUGGGCCCGCGGCCUCUCAGCUUGUUCGUUAGGUAACGGCUCACCAAGGCUACGACGGGUAACCGGCCUGAGAGGGCGACAGGUCACACUGUGACUGAGACACGACCCAGACUCCUACGGGAGGCAGCAGUGGGGAAUAUUGCGCAAUGGGCGAAAGCCUGACGCAGCGACGCCGCGUGAGGGAUGAAGGGCUUCGGAUCGUAAGCCUCCUUCAGUAGGGACGAAGCGAAAGUGACGGUACCUAAAGAAGAAGCACCGGCUAACUACGUGCCAGCCGCCGCCGUAA
rnacentral:rRNA from 1 species